GACGAACCGAGCGAACGUUGUUCGGAAUCACUGGGCUUAAAGGGCGCGUAGGCGGGCUGUCAAGUCUGGGGUGAAAUCCCGCGGCUCAACCGUGGAACUGCCUUAGAUACUGACGGCCUCGAGGGAGGUAGGGGCGAGCGGAACUGUGAGUGGAGCGGUGAAAUGCGUUGAUAUCCUAAGGAACACCGGUGGCGAAAGCGGCUCACUGGACCUCUUCUGACGCUGAGGCACGAAAGCUAGGGUAGCGAACGGG
rnacentral:rRNA from 1 species